rnacentral:tRNA from 2 species
UCCCAAGUAGCUCAGUGGUAGAGCAGUCGGCUGUUAACCGACUGGCCGGGGGUUCAAGUCCCUCCUUGGGAG